rnacentral:rRNA from 1 species
ACGAACGCUGGCGGCGUGCUUAACACAUGCAGGUCGAACGGAAAGGCCCCUUUGGGGGUACUCGAGUGGCGAACGGGUGAGUAACACGUGAGUAACCUGCCCUUGACUUCGGGAUAACUUCAGGAAACUGGGGCUAAUACCGGAUAGGAAUCCUUGCUGCAUGGUGGGGGUUGGAAAGCUUCGGCGGUCUUGGCUGGACUCGCGGCUUAUCAGCUUGUUGGUGGGGUAGUGGCUUACCAAGGCUUUGACGGGUAGCCGGCCUGCGAGGGCGACCGGCCACAUUGGGACUGAGAUGCGGCCCAGACUCCUACGGGAGGCAGCAGGGGGGAAGAUUGCACAAUGGGCGGAAGCCUGAUGCAGCAACGCCGCGUGCGGGAUGACGGCCUUCGGGUUGUAAACCGCUUUCAGCAGGGGCGAAGCUUGUGGUGACGGUACCUGCAGAAGAAGCACCGGCUAACUACGUG